rnacentral:rRNA from 1 species
GCGGCUANAAUGCAGUCGAGCGAAUGGAUUAAGAGCUUGCUCUUAUGAAGUUAGCGGCGGACGGGUGAGUAACACGUGGGUAACCUGCCCAUAAGACUGGGAUAACUCCGGGAAACCGGGGCUAAUACCGGAUAACAUUUUGAACCGCAAGGUUCGAAAUUGAAAGGCGGCUUCGGCUGUCACUUAUGGAUGGACCCGCGUCGCAUUAUCUAGUUGGUGAGGUAACGGCUCACCAAGGCGACGAUGCGUAACCGACCUGAGAGGGUGAUCGGCCACACUGGGACUGACACACGGCCCAGACUCCUACGGGAGGCAGCAGUAGGGAAUCUUCCGCAAUGGACGAAAGUCUGACGGAGCAACGCCGCGUGAGUGAUGAAGGCUUUCGGGUCGUAAAACUCUGUUGUUAGGGAAGAACAAGUGCUAGUUGAAUAAGCUGGCACCUUGACGGUACCUAACCAGAAAGCCACGGCUAACUACGUGCCAGCAGCCGCGGUAAUACGUAGGUGGCAAGCGUUAUCCGGAAUUAUUGGGCGUAAAGCGCGCGCAGGUGGUUUCUUAAGUCUGAUGUGAAAGCCCACGGCUCAACCGUGGAGUGUCAUUGGAAACUGGGAGACUUGAGUGCAGAAGAGGAAAGUGGAAUUCCAUGUGUAGCGGUGAAAUGCGUAGAGAUAUGGAGGAACACCAGUGGCGAACGCGACUUUCUGGUCUGUAACUGACACUGACGCGCGAAAGCGUGGGGAGCAAACAGGAUUAGAUACCCUGGUAGUCCACGCCGUACACGAUGAGUGCUAAGUGUUAGAGGGUUUCCGCCCUUUAGUGCUGAAGUUAACGCAUUAAGCACUCCGCCUGGGGAGUACGGCCGCAAGGCUGAAACUCAUAGGAAUUCGACGGGGGCCCGCACAAGCUGUGGAGCAUGUGGUUUAAUUCAAAGCACGCGAAGAACCUUACCANGUCUUGACAUCCUCUGAAACCCUAGAGAUAGGGCUUCUCCUUCGGGAGCAGAGUGACAGUGCUGCAUGGUUUGUCGUCAGCUCGNGUCAUGANAUGUAGGGUUNNGUCCAGCANNNGCAGCANCCCUUGAUCUUAGUUGCCAUCAUCUAGUUGGNCACUCUAAGG